UCCGCCCGACCAACGAACUUCCCGGCUUGUGAAACUUUCCAGAUUGGAUUUUGGAAAGAAAACGUGAAAAAGGGAAAGCGUUUCUUCGAAAAGUUCAACUCAUGCUGACUUCAUGGACAUGUCCAAGGAGUCUUCUUGGCAAUAUCAUCUAAAUGGAUUAUAACUACUUUCCUUUGCUUUUGGCCUGAAGGGGUCAGUUUGGUAAGAAACUGCUUUUCAUUCUGGGAAAUGAAGGAAGAUGAAGCCAGGAACUGCUGAUGCUUUUCAGAGGGACCAAUGAGCCCCAGGGAAAAUCAGGCCAACCCACUCCAUGAUGGCAUUCAGAAAGACACUGAAAAAGCCAGCUGUUCACCCAAAGCAUUCUAGUUAAUUUUGGCCAUCUUUGUCUUUGGUUUUACAUUAUUUAUUGUUUUUUUGUAAUUCUUCAUUUCAAAUGCUUUUUAAAUCUUAUUGUGGGUGCUUUAUCCAGCAGCAAGGUGGAUAGAGUCAGUUACAGAAAUGACAAUUGCAUUAUUGGAAUUGCUGUAGAACCUGGUUAGAGACAGAUCAUCAUAGCAUUAAUCUAUGUGGUUGCUAAGAGUAAGCAGUGGCUUGCUGGCACACAAUCAUCAUCAAGCUACUAAGAGUUGCU